UAUCAAUUCUAUUAUAUUACAAAAAAACUGUUCCUAUAUUUGAUGCAAAUGACCUCUUUCAUUGUAUCACAAUGCAGCUUUUUUAGUGAUAAACAUCCACACAUUGGUUUAUUUUAAUACAAUAUAAUAGCAAAACUGAUGAGACAAAACAUUUUGACAGUUGCUGCUUUUUAUUGCUUUAUAUGCUGUUCUUUGCUUGCAGCUACAAGAAACAGGUUUUAAAAUAUCACACAAUGUUCCACCAGCUAUGGAUGACAUCUGUCAGUCACACAUUUUCUAAUAUAUGCCGAUUUUUGAUUUCACCAUUGUUAGCAUAAUGUUUAUAUGCUUCAUUUGGUCAUAAUGUUUGGGCUAAUCAUGUAUAGUUAGUUUGACAAUCUGUCAUUUCCAAUACCCUGUAAUUCCUAGCUAAUGGGACCAGUAUACAUACGUAAUGCACAUAUCAUAUUUACAUAUAAGGAUAAAUUAGAAUUUAUGAUUCAAGAUAUAAUUUGUUCCCUCGAAAAAUGAAAAAAAAAACAAAACAAAAAAACAGAGUGACCACAGAAAAAAUUCAGUUUAUGUAAAUGCCCUGCUGUUGUUGUGAGCUGCUGUGGGACCUUCUGCAAGAAGGAUUCAUAUUAAUUGAUUUGUUCUCAGAAAAAAAUGGAGGAUGUCUGAAAACCUGGAGACUGUGACUGAAGAAGUUCCAAUGCUGGAUGCUGAUCAAGCAAUAGUAUAUGAUGGGAUCCAUGAGCGAGAGGCAGCUGAAGGAGAAACUUAGUCAUGUGAGAACGCAUCGCUGGUGACAAUGAUGACAUUGAACCAAAGACGUGGACAACAUUGACAAUGACGUCAAAACCAGGAAGGAGAGGAGAAACAGAAUAUGUUGAAAUAAAGACAGAAAAAAGGGACAAUGAUGAUCAUGUGUUGUUGCAGCACUUACAAAAAAGAAAAAUCAUUCAGAUAUUAGGCUAUGUUG